rnacentral:misc_RNA from 1 species
GAAAUUGUGAAUUUGAGAAGAAAUCAACAUAUUUGCUUCUUCUUCCGCUUCGUGAAUAUGCAUGUGUUUGUGAUUUUGAAUGUCAAAUUAUCACUAUGUAUCUAAACUGUGAAUUGUUCUUGAAUUGUGAACUGAAACCGAAUUAUAAAAUCAAAUUAACCAAAAUUACCUCGGUUUAAUUCAGUUCAAUUAUUUAUAUGGUUUGAUUUAGUUUGGUUUUUAAUUUUAUAUGCAACUCAAUUUUUAAUUUAU